GAAAAUAGUUCAGUUGGUAGAACAUGAGACUCUUAAUCUCAGUCUUAUGGGUUCAAGGCCCACAUUGGACA